UUUUAGUAUUCUCAAGUAUAUUCCUUUGGACCAAGUGGAAGAUCCACAACCACAAGCAAUGGCGGUGACAGGUGACCCACAAAUUUCAUCAGUUUUUGUUUUGAUUCUUAUGGUGAAUUGCUGCUAAAACGUCUGCUGGACGUGGCAUUCUUUCGCAAAUUUCAAGCAAUUUUGAAGGAAUUGGAUACAACGUUGGUUCUUUUUGCAUGGAGCUGACUGCAAAGACCCAUUACCCUGCAAAAGGUUAAUUGGACUUUUUUUCCUCAUGAAAUUUUGAAGUGUAACAUCUGGAUUAUGUUCCUUUCGUUUUGCAGAUAUUCUUUGCAAUAUGUAGCUGAUUAUUCCAUUGUUUUUAUACAAAAAUUUGCUUGCCAAUUUUUAUGUUUAUAUUCCGUUCUUGCUUAAUUUACACAUAUAGAAAAACUUAAAACUAUUCUGAAUGCUUGUUGGUCCUUCUUUAAGGUGUUUGAUAUAUUUGAGGACUUGAGAUCUAAGAGCUAUUUCCCACAGUGCUAUUAAAACAAAGGCUUGUGCUUUUAUAUCAUAUGUGGAUGAACUUCUAAAAGCUUAGAAUUUGGGAAUUCUGUAUACUUUAUUAAUUACAGAAGAUGGGCAUUCAACGAGAAAGUCUAAAUUGAAUCCUCCUUACAUGUUUACUGAUUGCAGAGAAAAAGUCAUUGAGUUAUUUGUAUCAGGAUGUGAGAGAGUGACCGUAGAGCAGCAUGUUCUCUGUUACAACUACUGGGCUAAUACACUUGCUGCCCCUAUUUGAGGUUGAAGGAUUCGGUAUUGAUUUUGCCUUCUCUCGUGAAAAUGAACAAAUUGGUAGAGAUUGGAACUAUGGCAUAUGUCUCAAAAUGGGACAUUUGAUCACUUCUGAGUCGCUUUCUUGUUUUGUUGAUCUUGCAAUUGGAAUGCAUUCCUAUCCACUCCUUGAAAAGAGCCAACAGGUUCUGCCAUUUGGAAACCAUAUUGCUUCAUAAUCCAUAAAUUAACUGGAAAUAGAACUCAAACAUGCAUUCAUGGAUAGUCUAUUUGUGGAAGAUGACUACCUUCUUGCAACAUGAUUGAGCUUGAUUCUCUACAAUGCAAUGAUGUUUUAGAUGUACUUUCUGAAUAUCAGUGAAGUACAAUACGAAGAUUCUUCAAAUUGGUUAGUACCUUAUCAUUUAUUCCCACUAUUUUCUACUUUUUCUGCUAUCAUUAGUCCGAAAACUGUGUCUUAAAGGCAUAAAAACUUUUAAGAUCUGCAUGUUUAUCUUCCUAUUGAUUAAGUUGUCAUCCUUGCGUUAUAGUUUCUCAAGCUUUAAAAGGCUUGACAGAUUAUUUUUGAAGAUGAAUAUUGCCACUUUAUCAACCGAACUGAACGUUUAUAAAAGACAGCCAGUGUGUUGAUAGGAAUUUGAUUUGUGUGCCCAAAUGGUUUUAGAUUAAAGGAUUCAGUAAUCUCCUCCUUAGCAAAGGCAUCUCUGGAAAUACAGCAUCUGCAGAGUUUGUAGCACUGAAUCUUUACUUUUGAGGCAGUGUACGCUGAAAUUGCUAGGAUCUCAUCUGAAAAGCAUGUCCCAGGACCCAUUUUGCUGCAGGAACUGAUACAAAUUCAACCGUGUCAGAAGUCAUGAGCCAACUUAGCAUGGGUUAUGAUAUUCGAUAUGUCUCGUGAUUUUGAUUUGCGUUAUUUUAAUUUAAUUUGUGACUAUUGUUAAUGUUUAUUUAGAUAUUAAUGAGUUAUUGGUUGGUUUGCGUGAAA